rnacentral:rRNA from 1 species
UGGGGAAACCCAGCAUGAGUUAUGUCAUGUUAUCGAUAUGUGAAUACAUAGCAUAUCAGAAGGCACACCCGGAGAACUGAAACAUCUUAGUACCCGGAGGAAGAGAAAGAAAAUUCGAUUCCCUUAGUAGCGGCGAGCGAAACGGGAAGAGCCCAAACCAACAAGCUUGCUUGUUGGGGUUGUAGGACACUCUAUACGGAGUUACAAAGGACGACAUUAGACGAAUCAUCUGGAAAGAUGAAUCAAAGAAGGUAAUAAUCCUGUAGUCGAAAAUGUUGUCUCUCUUGAGUGGAUCCUGAGUACGACGGAGCACGUGAAAUUCCGUCGGAAUCUGGGAGGACCAUCUCCUAAGGCUAAAUACUCUCUAGUGACCGAUAGUGAACCAGUACCGUGAGGGAAAGGUGAAAAGCACCCCGGAAGGGGAGUGAAAUAGAACCUGAAACCGUGUGCUUACAAGUAGUCAGAGCCCGUUAAUGGGUGAUGGCGUGCCUUUUGUAGAAUGAACCGGCGAGUUACGAUUUGAUGCAAGGUUAAGCAGUAAAUGUGGAGCCGUAGCGAAAGCGAGUCUGAAUAGGGCGUUUAGUAUUUGGUCGUAGACCCGAAACCAGGUGAUCUACCCUUGGUCAGGUUGAAGUUCAGGUAACACUGAAUGGAGGACCGAACCGACUUACGUUGAAAAGUGAGCGGAUGAACUGAGGGUAGCGGAGAAAUUCCAAUCGAACCUGGAGAUAGCUGGUUCUCUCCGAAAUAGCUUUAGGGCUAGCCUCAAGUGAUGAUUAUUGGAGGUAGAGCACUGUUUGGACGAGGGGCCCCUCUCGGGUUACCGAAUUCAGACAAACUCCGAAUGCCAAUUAAUUUAACUUGGGAGUCAGAACAUGGGUGAUAAGGUCCGUGUUCGAAAGGGAAACAGCCCAGACCACCAGCUAAGGUCCCAAAAUAUAUGUUAAGUGGAAAAGGAUGUGGCGUUGCCCAGACAACUAGGAUGUUGGCUUAGAAGCAGCCAUCAUUUAAAGAGUGCGUAAUAGCUCACUAGUCGAGUGACACUGCGCCGAAAAUGUACCGGGGCUAAACAUAUUACCGAAGCUGUGGAUUGUCCUUUGGACAAUGGUAGGAGAGCGUUCUAAGGGCGUUGAAGCAUGAUCGUAAGGACAUGUGGAGCGCUUAGAAGUGAGAAUGCCGGUGUGAGUAGCG